rnacentral:rRNA from 1 species
GAGAGGUGCUGCAUGGCUGUCGUCAGCUCGUGUUGUGAAAUGUUGGGUUAAGUCUCGCAACGAGCGCAACCCCUAUCGUCUGUUGCCAGCAUUAAGUUGGGCACUCUGACGAGACUGCCUGGGUUAACCAGGAGGAAGGUGGGGAUGACGUCAAGUCCUCAUGGCCCUUAUGUCUAGGGCUACACACGUAAUACAAUGGCGCGUACAAAGGGAAGCGAACUAGCAAUAGGGAGCAAAUCUCAAAAAGCGCGCCUCAGUUCGGAUUGAAGUCUGCAACUCGACUUCAUGAAGUUGGAAUCGCUAGUA